GGACACUCCUGAACUACAGUAAUAUAUGGGAAUCCAUAAAAAUAAUAAUAAUUCUGCGAGAGCACAUAUAUUCUAUGACUUGAAGGCUGUGCCAAUCUUUACAAGCACAUCAGUGACUGCACAUCAAAACCAGUUCUGCCAGUCAUCUUUAUUCAACGAUCCUUUCAUAUUAUGAAAGAGGCAAGAAAAUUUAUCUUUCUCUGCCUACUUGCUCCAUAACUAUGACGAUGAAUGAGAGGCACGGACAAGCUAGUUCCAGGAUCUUUUCUUAGAAGUCAGCAGUACAUUUUCAUCAUCUUUUCUGAAGUUGGACAACUCACACUUCUGAAGCAAAGAGGUUUGCCAAAUACAUGAAUAAAAAGCAAUUUUUUAAAAUAAAGCAAAGCUCUCAAGAAUGUAUAGGAAAAACAAAGACAGAAAUGAGACUUUGCACCAGGUCUGACUAGAAAAUGAAUCAUUGGACAUAAUAAUAAGUGAGAAAAAUUAUAUUCUUGUUCAGAUACUUUACAACUGACCGUUAAAAGGUUAUGCAUUGAGAAAGAAAGAAAUGGUGUGUAUAACUACUGUUGCAACUGAAAGGAUAGAAUUGGAAGUUUAAGGUUGCAAUGCUCCCAGCAAAUAUUCCCAAAAGCAUUGGAUCAUUCAGAGUUUGCUCUUUAACAUCAUACAAAUCUAUAGAAGGUUUGACUUUAGAAUCAAUUUCCUGGUUUCUAGCAUUUGUUUUUUUCAUAACUCAAGUUGUUCAACAGGGGGGAAAAAGUGCCAGCAAAAUGACUCUGACUUUCCUGAAUAAAACAUUUUAUAGUUUCUUGUACGUGAUCCCAGCAGAUGCAGGAUUUUACUAGACUGGAAAAACCUACUCCAUAUGAACCUAACUAUCUUUUAUCUUUAUAGUUACGAUCCAGUGGUUUUUAUGCAUUCAUCUUUUUUAUAUGUUAGUUUUGAAAAAAAAAUCAAAAUUGAAAAGGGCCAGGAAAGAAAAUGUUUCACCAGUAUUUUUUUUUAAUCACAGUUGUUCUACAUCUAUUUGCAAGUUACUCACAGAGACUUACCAGAUUGGAAGAGCAUGAAGCUGAAGGCCAAAGUAUUAAAUCUAAUGUUCACCACUACCCAAAUCCUGUCUUGCAAACAUGGUGUCAUCUGGAUACCAUCUGUGGCAAUUAAUUCCACAAGGGAAGGCUAGUCCUAAAUGACAUCUCUUUAAAAACCUCUGGGUUCCUUCAGUGAAGCAAUGCCAUCUAUCAAUAUCCCACAAAUGCCUGCCCUCUGGAAUGAGGUUCCCUUGAAAUUUGAGUGGUUUUCACCCUACAGAUACUUGGAAGGAUCUUCACCCAGCCCUUUGGUGGGAAUGAAGGAUACACCUUUCUUCCUUUUUGUUACCCUCUGGAUUUGUGCUGUUUUUGCUAUUUUCCACAUUGUUCUUUGUUUUGGAAUGUUUUUAACAAUUGUAAACUGCCCAAAGCUGCUGGGAGUUGGGUGGCAUAUAAAUUUAAUUUAUUUUUAUGGUUGGUUCCACAGUCAGCCAGAUAUUUAGUCUGGAUUUGGCAUUUUUAUCUGCCUAUCGAAUCUUUCCCUGGACCUGGAACAGGAAUUUGAUGUUUGAUGGUGUUGAAGCUAUUAGUUGUUCCAAAUAAAGCUACCUUUUGCAAUUGACCAACAGUGAUUUUGUCAAUGUCAAUGAUACUUAAGUGGUGUUCUCGUUGUUUUGGGAUUGUACCCAAGGCAUCUCUUAUUAUUGGUAUUAUCUUCGCUUUUUUUAAUCACAGUUGUUCUACAUCUAUUUGCAAGUCUUUGUAUUUUGUUAUCUUCUACAU